rnacentral:rRNA from 1 species
AAAUUGAAGAGUUUGAUCAUGGCUCAGAUUGAACGCUGGCGGCAGGCCUAACACAUGCAAGUCGAACGGUAACAGGAAUCAGCUUGCUGAUUCGCUGACGAGUGGCGGACGGGUGAGUAAUGUCUGGGAAACUGCCUGAUGGAGGGGGAUAACUACUGGAAACGGUAGCUAAUACCGCAUAAUGUCGCAAGACCAAAGAGGGGGACCUUCGGGCCUCUUGCCAUCGGAUGUGCCCAGAUGGGAUUAGCUAGUAGGUGGGGUAA